AUACUUACCUGGCAGGAGAGAGACCGUGAGCGGAAAGGUGGCUUCCCUAGGACAAGGCACUCCAGGUGUGCUGACCUGUGGUUUCCCCGAGUGGGAAACUCAACCACAAAAUUUGUGGCAGUGAGAGUUGUGUUGGCAUUCCCCCUUU
ensembl:snRNA LOC120093368 U1 spliceosomal RNA